AGCGGCGGACGGGUGAGUAACGCGUGGGUAACCUGCCUCAUACAGGGGGAUAACAGUUGGAAACGGCUGCUAAUACCGCAUAAGCGCACAGUACCGCAUGGUACGCUGUGAAAAACUCCGGUGGUAUGAGAUGGACCCGCGUCUGAUUAGGUAGUUGGUGGGGUAACGGCCUACCAAGCCGACGAUCAGUAGCCGACCUGAGAGGGUGACCGGCCACAUUGGGACUGAGACACGGCCCAA
rnacentral:rRNA from 1 species